rnacentral:antisense_RNA from 1 species
CUUCACCGAACCCAACAACAGCGGACGAUCGGCGGCGCGGUCCUGACCAUACGUCGCCAACACAGCCUGCGCCUC